rnacentral:rRNA from 1 species
CCUACGGGAGGCUGCAGUGGGGAAUAUUGGACAAUGGGGGGAACCCUGAUCCAGCCAUGCCGCGUGUGUGAAGAAGGCCCUCGGGUUGUAAAGCACUUUCAGUGAGGAAUAACGCCUGGUGGUUAAUACCCAUCAGGAAAGACAUCACUCACAGAAGAAGCACCGGCUAACUCCGUGCCAGCAGCCGCGGUAAUACGGAGGGUGCGAGCGUUAAUCGGAAUUACUGGGCGUAAAGCGCGCGUAGGUGGCUUGAUAAGCCGGUUGUGAAAGCCCCGGGCUCAACCUGGGAACGGCAUCCGGAACUGUCAAGCUAGAGUGCAGGAGAGGAAGGUAGAAUUCCCGGUGUAGCGGUGAAAUGCGUAGAGAUCGGGAGGAAUACCAGUGGCGAAGGCGGCCUUCUGGACUGACACUGACACUGAGGUGCGAAAGCGUGGGUAGCAAACAGGAUUAGAUACCCUGGUAGUC